rnacentral:rRNA from 1 species
GAUGAACGCUGGCGGCGUGCCUUAAGCAUGCAAGUCGAACGGAAAAAUGGUUGUCGCAAGAUAAUUGUUAAUUAGUGGCGGACGGGUGAGUAACACGUGGGCAACCUGCCCUACAGAUUGGGAUAACUCAGGGAAACCUGGGCUAAUACCGGAUAAUCCUUCGAAUCACAUGUUUUGAAGUUGAAAGGCGCUUCGGCGUCACUGUAGGAUGGGCCCGCGGUGCAUUAGCUAGUUGGUGGGGUAACGGCCUACCAAGGCAACGAUGCAUAGCCGACCUGAGAGGGUGAUCGGCCACAUUGGGACUGAGACACGGCCCAAACUCCUACGGGAGGCAGCAGUAGGGAAUCUUCCACAAUGGACGAAAGUCUGAUGGAGCAACGCCGCGUGAGUGAUGAAGGUUUUCGGAUCGUAAAACUCUGUUGUAAGGGAAGAACAAGUACGUUAGGAAAUGAACGUACCUUGACGGUACCUUAUUAGAAAGCCACGGCUAACUACGUGCCAGCCGCCGCCGUAA